rnacentral:piRNA from 1 species
UGGCCUCACUGAUGGGCACGUUCUUCCCAGA